CCAAAGGCUGGGGUGCAUUGAAAUGGGAGGACACAAGCAAAUGGUAAUCCUAGCAAGAGAUGGAACUCUCUCUCAGGGGCUGGUAUCUCAGAAACAGAAGAUACUUUGUUCACUUCCUUUUACUAGAUUUCAGUUGAUCAUAUCUUUCAAAGGAACAUGCUAACAAAUCUUCGUACCAUGAACUCCAGUUAACAAAGGUAUAGUUGAGGAAUGUCCUGGCUUUGAUUUGUCAAACAGAAGUUCCUUCUGUGGCGCUGCCUUCAUUUUCUCCCUGUGACAGAAUUUAAAAAAAUGGAUUAUUGCACUUGAUGUACUAGGGAAACCAGCAGCCUCGAGCCAUAGGAAAAUUUAUUCAAUGAAAAUUCAAGGAGACCACACAUGUGCCAGGAACCAGGACUUGAUCAAAGAGACUUUUAAAUUCAAACAUGGAUGUCAUGUGUGAGACAGCCAUCUUUUCUAUGCUGAAGAGUCUUUUUAUGGGCAAAACUAAAGACUGCAGGACUCACACAGGGUUACAGCCCAAAAUAGCAACCUUUGUGUAGAAAGAACUUACUUACAAUACCUUUCCUCCAUAAUGUCCCAUACAAGUUGUACAUUACAAAGUGGGAGGGGAGAAAUGUCAGUACUGAAGCUGAAGUCCUUUCAGCUGAAGCCCUGUGUUCCAUUUUUGUAAGCAUGUGGAUUUCAUAGUUGAUUGAUUGGGUUGCUAUCUAUCAAAGGAAACAUUCCCUUCUAUACCAGAAGACAAUGCCAGGUGGAAGAAAUAAGGAAACAGAACAAAAUCAAGUACCCUUUC